rnacentral:rRNA from 1 species
CGUGCAGCCGGGCAUGCAAGUCAGAUGUGAAAUCUCGGGGCUUAACCCUGAAACUGCAUUUGAAACUGUAUGUCUUGAGUGCCGGAGAGGUAAUCGGAAUUCCUUGUGUAGCGGUGAAAUGCAUAGAUAUAAGGAAGAACACCAGUGGCGAAGGCGGAUUACUGGACGGUAACUGACGGUGAGGCGCGAAAGCGUGGGGAGCGAACA